rnacentral:rRNA from 1 species
GGUUACUGCUAUCGGUGUUCGCCUAAGCCAUGCGAGUCAUAUGUUCUUCGGAACAUGGCGUACUGCUCAGUAACACGUGGAUAACCUGCCCUUGGGUCUGGCAUAACCCCGGGAAACUGGGGAUAAUUCCGGAUAACGCACAUAUGCUGGAAUGCUUUAUGCGUCAAAUGGAUUCGUCCGCCCAAGGAUGGGUCUGCGGCCUAUCAGGUACUAGUGGGUGUAAUGUACCUACUAGCCUACGACGGGUACGGGUUGUGAGAGCAAGAGCCCGGAGAUGGAUUCUGAGACAUGAAUCCAGGCCCUACGGGGCGCAGCAGGCGCGAAAACUUUACAAUGCGGGAAACCGUGAUAAGGGGACACCGAGUGCCAGCAUCAUAUGCUGGCUGUCCGGGUGUGUAAAAUACACCUGUUAGCAAGGGCCGGGCAAGACCGGUGCCAGCCGCCGCGGUAACACCGGCGGCCCGAGUGGUGAUCGUGAUUAUUGGGUCUAAAGGGUCCGUAGCCGGUUUGGGCAGUCCUCCGGGAAAUCUGACGGCUUAACCGUUAGGCUUUCGGGGGAUACUGCCAGACUUGGAACUGGGAGAGGUAAGAGGUACUACAGGGGUAGGAGUGAAAUCUUGUAAUCCCUGUGGGACCACCUGUGGCGAAGGCGUCUUACCAGAACGGGUUCGACGGUGAGGGACGAAAGCUGGGGGCACGAACCGGAUUAGAUACCCGGGUAGUCCCAGCCGUAAACGAUGCUCGCUAGGUGUCAGGCAUGGCGCGACCGUGUCUGGUGCCGCAGGGAAGCCGUGAAGCGAGCCACCUGGGAAGUACGGCCGCAAGGCUGAAACUUAA